rnacentral:rRNA from 1 species
CUUUACAGCCAUACCACCCUGAACAUGCCCAAUCUCAUCUGAUCUUGCAAGCUAAGCAGGGUUGGGCCCGUUUAGUCCUUGGAUAGACUCCUCCUAUCCCUCCAUAAAAUAAACAAAAGAAUACCUGGAACACAAC